rnacentral:rRNA from 1 species
AUUGAACGCUGGCGGCACGCCUUACACAUGCAAGUCGAACGGCAGCAUGAUCUAGCUUGCUAGAUUGAUGGCGAGUGGCGAACGGGGGAGUAAUACAUCGGAACGGGCCCUGUAGUGGGGGAUAACUAGGCGAAAGAUUAGCUAAUACCGCAUACGACCUGAGGGCGAAAGUGGGGGACCGCAAGGCCUCAUGCUAUAGGAGCGGCCGGUGUCGGAUUAGCUAGUUGGUGAGGUAAAGGCACACCAAGACGACGAUCAGUAGCUGGUCUGAGAGGACGAUCAGCCACACUGGGACUGAGACACGGCCCAGACUCCUACGGGAGGCAGCAGUGGGGAAUUUUGGACAAUGGGGGCAAGCCUGAUCCAGCAAUGCCGCGUGUGUGAAGAAGGCCUUCGGGUUGUAAAGCACUUUUGUCCGGAAAGAAAUCGCACUUAUUAAUAUUAGGUGUGGAUGACGGUACCGGAAGAAUAAGGACCGGCUAACUACGUGCCAGCCGCCGCCGUAAUAC